UUUCCAGAUGCAACACCUGCUGAGAAGGAGAACUCUCUCUGUUUUCGCUCGGGGGAAGUCUGCGGCGCAGCUUCAUGAUGAUGGUGCCGAGACUCGUCCACCGUUUUCGUCAGCUGUUAAUCAUUCUUCUCCUCCUUCUGGGGAUCACGACCUGGCGGAACACCAGUUCCGAAGUCACGCAAGAACAGGGUAGGGAUCUCAGUCUCCGAAAAUCGACCAAUUUUACAA